rnacentral:misc_RNA from 1 species
AUUUUGGCAGCAAAAAUUUGUGUUUGUUUAUGAUCAAUCAUGCUUACUGUUAAUAAUCAUGACUCGUGAAGUUCUAUUUAUGAUUUUUAUUACUUCUUCACUUGCACCUCCGUUUCAAAUCAAAGUUGCUGUGAACCUUUUAUUUUAAGCAUUGUACAUGUAUGAAUUGUUUGGAGAAGCCAAGAUAAGUCAUGGAGCACAGAAAG